GGAUGGGAUCAUACCAGCGUUAAUGCACCGGAUCCCAUCAGAACACUGCAGUUAAGCAUGCUUGGGCUAGAGUAGUCCUGCGAUGGGUGACCUUUCGAGAAGUCCUAGUGUUGCACCCU
rnacentral:rRNA from 1 species